ensembl:lncRNA
GCCUCGAUCAUUUCCCCCACCUGAGAGCCUCCUUCACCUGUGUUUACAGUCAGAUUCAAUCGGCGGAUGGGGACCGAGUGCCUCUCCUCACAGGCCUUCUGUAACAGGGUACAACUGAUCCUCGUUGUUCACGGAGUCUGCGUUUGCCAACGCACCUACCCACCAACACUGAUUUGUAAGCCCCCGGCUCAGGACUUCUGCGGCUUUCUCUGCUGUUCAUGGUCAGAGCAGAAAGGCAAAAUUUUGAGUCGCUCACAUUCCCAGCUGAGAUCCAACUAAGGUAACGCUGGCUUCUUGUUUCAGGUCUCAGACGCUAAACAAGCUUCCUUUCUGUGUCUCUUUAGUGCCACUUUGGGCAUUUUGUCGGUGACUUCAUUGUUUAAAAUGCUCCUGGGUGGAGAGCUGAAGGGCUGUCUAGCGUUCCUAAGGGCCAGAAGACUGUGAUGUGCCCGCAGGAGAAUACACAUGUAAUACACAUUUGAUAAGCAUCCUUCAGGUGUGUGUUAUGGUGCUGCCGACCCAGGGUUCAGUGUUAAUGAAUCCACAAUAUGGCACAUCCAGAAAAAGGAAGAGGAAAUUCAGCAAAAUGUAUGUCAGUGGCUCCACUGUUUUGCCCAAGGGAGGCUCCGAGGAACCUCACCCUGUAUUUGCCCUGGGAGCCGUGGUUCCGAGGUAACUAAUUCAGUGUCUGUAGAGACCAAGGCUCCCUCUGUCCAUGGGAUUCUCCAGGCAAGAAUACUGGAGUCAGUUGUCAUGCCUGCCUCCGGGGGAUCUUCCCGACCCAGGGAUUGAACCUGCAUCUCUUAUGUCUCCUGCAUUGGCAGGCAGGUUCUUUACCACUAGCGCCACCUGGGGAGCCCAUAUAGGGCAUAGCUGCCAUGAAUAAUGAGAAUCAGCCUUGCCCCUGCCCGCCACAAAAGCCUUGUGUUUCUACUAAGUGUCAGAUAUCAUUCAACCCCCUCUGGUACUUUGUCGCUUCCUGCUUGAUCCAGUGCUUUGUCUGUCCUGUGAGCUCAUUUUGCAUCAGGGGAGGUGGACAGUGAAGAUGUCCUGAAGCCAAAGGUGGAAAAAUUGUUAGAGUCGCAUGUGCUUACGGAGAGAUGCUAGACCCAGCAGGGAAUGACUCAACAGAACCAUGAGCUGCAAGAAAAACCGUAGAGCGCCUGCCCCCCCAGGGAUGUGGAAGAAUCAGAGAUGUUUGUAAAAGCACAAACCAGGACCCCACCGUGUCCAACCUGCCAGGGACGUCAUGCUGCUGAGGGGAGAAAGUGGGAUUUCAGAUGGCCCGGAGGCUGCUGCCUCCCAAAAGUGCCGCCUGCUCUCUGGCGGAGGUCACAUCAUCCCUGUCCACUUUCACGUGGCCUGGAGUGGUCACCGCUGGGGUUCAGCUGCCCUGUCCCUGGGCUGCGGGGAUUCUCCGGAGCCGGUGGGUGCUGUGGUGGAUGGUACAUCCACCCGUGUUUCUUCUAUUC